CAGUCGCCGCGGGAAUACAGAGGAUGCAAGCGUUAUCCGGAAUGAUUGGGCGUAAAGCGAGCGCAGGCGGUUAGAUAAGUCUGAAGUUAAAGGCUGUGGCUUAACCAUAGUAUGCUUUGGAAACUGUUUAACUUGAGUGCAGAAGGGGAGAGUGGAAUUCCAUGUGUAGCGGUGAAAUGCGUAGAUAUAUGGAGGAACACCGGUGGCGAAAGCGGCUCUCUGGUCUGUAACUGACGCUGAGGCUCGAAAGCGUGGGGAGCAAACAGGAUUAGAUACCCCUGUAGUCCCUGUCUCUUAUACA
rnacentral:rRNA from 1 species